rnacentral:rRNA from 1 species
AUUGAACGCUGGCGGCAGGCCUAACACAUGCAAGUCGAACGAGUGGCGGACGGGUGAGUAAUGUCUGGGAAACUGCCCGAUGGAGGGGGAUAACUACUGGAAACGGUAGCUAAUACCGCAUACCAUCGGAUGUGCCCAGAUGGGUUUAGCUAGUAGGUGGGCUAACGGCUCACCUAGGCGACGAUCCCUAGCUGGUCUGAGAGGAUGACCGGCCAGCCUUGAUAUGAUGCGCGGUCCAGACUACGACGGAAGGGAGCAGUGGGGAAUAUUGGACAAUGGGUGCAAGCCUGAUGCAGCCGUGCCGCGUGUAUGAAGAAGGCCUUAGGGUUGUAAAGUACUUUCAGGGGGGAGGCGUUACUCGCAGAAGAAGCACCGGCUAACUCCGUGCCAGCAGGCGCGGUAAUAC